rnacentral:misc_RNA from 1 species
CAAGUUAAGAAUUAAAAUCCUCUGGUAAAACAGAUAUGGAGAAAGAAUUUAAAGCAUUUUGAAGACGCAAAUUUGAACAAAAAGAAUUUGUUAUUCUGUCUCUCCUCAGAGUCAAACCAGAGAAUAAAUGGUUGAUGAGUCACUGGCAAAGUCUAAAUCCAUCUCAUAUAGUCAAAUCCAACCAUCUCCAGUGCUGAAGUUUGAUCUCUAUCUAUUAGAUGUGCAAAUAUAGAUAAAAAAAAACCAAAACUUGCAAUGGUUAAAACUUUGAAAAGUACAACUCUACCCAUCUAGCUCUAUUUUAAUAUGCUCGUGCCUGAAAUUUCAUGUGUGUCAGACCACAAAACCAAGACAACGGAAUCUCUCUUAGAAGAAGAGGAGAGAGAGAGAGUUAUUCAUACUUUGAAAUGGUGAGCUAGUGAACAAAGCAGCUGGGGUUUUUUUACCUUGGAUGGGGCUUCUUUUUUGUAUGGACAUGAUGGUAGAUUCAUUUCCGUGGACAAAACUUAGGAAUGAAUUAUUUUGUAUUCUUCACAGAACAAGACAACAGCAAUGUAUACAAACACAAACCAUUGCUGCAAAACGAACAACACAAAAACAACAGCAACGUUCCACAGAAAUGGCUGCUUUUGCUUCUCAUACUCAUAGCUAUCACCCAAUGAUACCUCUUUUUAUGGCUUUCCUUGUUGUUUUUGCUACUUCUUUUCGUCCUGUCUUGUCUCUACAAGUCAUGUCAGAUUCCGGUGAUCUGUUCCCGGAAAACCAAACUUUCAGGCCAGGGGGAGAGAUGUGGAAACUCAAAAGAGUCCAUGCUUAUCUUAAGAAGAUUAACAAGCCUGCAGUCAAGACAAUUCAGAGCCCUGAUGGUGAUGUAAUAGAUUGUGUUUUAUCUCAUCUUCAACCAGCAUUUGACCAUCCAGAGCUCAAAGGACAAAAACCAUUGGAUCCACCAGAGAGGCCAAAAGGCAAUGAGAACACAGAGGCAAUAACAAAAAGCUAUCAGCUGUGGGCAGAUUCAGGUGAGUCAUGCCCAGAAGGAAGUGUUCCAAUCAGGAGAACCACAGAAAAGGAUGUUCUAAGGGCAAGUAAUAUGAGAAGAUUUGGCAGAAAAUUAAGAAGGCAUGUAAGAAGAGACUCAACAGGCAAUGGUCAUGAGCAUGCAGUUGUAUUUGUUAAUGGAGAUCAAUAUUAUGGAGCAAAGGCCAAUAUAAAUGUGUGGGCUCCUCGUGUUACCGAUCAAUAUGAGUUCAGCUUGUCACAAAUUUGGGUUAUCUCUGGUUCUUUUGGCAAUGAUCUAAACACAAUUGAAGCUGGUUGGCAGGUUAGUCCUGAGUUAUAUGGCGAUAAUUAUCCAAGAUUCUUCACUUAUUGGACAAUUGAUGCAUACCGAGCUACUGGAUGCUAUAACUUACUGUGUUCUGGGUUUGUCCAAACCAACAACAAGAUUGCCAUUGGAGCUGCAAUAUCUCCAAGGUCGUCCUACAAUGGAAGACAAUUUGAUGUUGGCCUAAUGGUUUGGAAGGACCCAAAGCAUGGGAAUUGGUGGCUGGAAUUUGGGUCAGGACUACUAGUAGGAUAUUGGCCAUCUUUCUUGUUCAGUCAUUUAAGAAGCCAUGCAAGUAUGAUACAGUUUGGAGGAGAAAUAGUGAAUUCUAGAUCCUCAGGGUACCAUACAUCAACCCAAAUGGGCAGUGGUCAUUUUGCAGAAGAAGGAUUUGGAAAAGCAUCCUAUUUUAGGAAUUUACAAGUUGUUGAUUGGGACAAUAGUUUGCUGCCCUUAACAAAUCUUCACGUCUUGGCUGAUCAUCCAAAUUGUUAUGAUAUAAGGCAAGGCAGAAACAAUGUUUGGGGAACUUAUUUUUAUUAUGGAGGUCCAGGGAGAAAUGUAAGGUGUCCAUGAAGGUAUUGGUACAGCAUAGAAAGUAAAAUAUUAAUUUUGUGCAUUUUCUUUUUUAAGUUUUUGAGCUAUUAGUUUUUCUUUCUAGGCCUUGGUAUGGUUUGGGCUAUUUUUAGAUUUUUUUUGGAAUAUAAUAUGCCCUUUUUUUUCCUUUUUCUUUUUGGUCCCCCAACAGGUUAAUCUUCUCUUAGCCCACUUCUGAGAUUAUGUAAAUUUAGGAAAUACAGAUUGUUAAUAACAAUGAAUUGAGUGUCUUUUGUCUUUUUUCUUUCUCAUGUUUAGUCUUUUCAAAAUGUUUAGGGAAGAGAGAGAAAGAAUCCCAAAUGGCAAAAACACCCUUAGCACCUUUUUUUAGCAUAAUACAUCAGCAACUACUUUGUAAGAGAAGCUGACCCACUAACUCUGCAAUUAGAAAACCCAUAAAACAACUUAAAUAUUUUUCUUUGAAGAAAUCCCCAAUGCAAAUUGAAGAUAAAUAUAUUUUUUUAUUGGAAGUAUUCCCUUUUUAUAUGGCAUUGCAUGUGGGAAGCAUCAAGAGACAAGGAAGAUAAAUUUCAUUAUUUUAACCUUGUAUCUGGCAAACUUACCCAAUGAACCGUCUCUUCAAUAGUAUGCCAUCCCAAGUUGCAUCUAAGUUUCCUGAAAAAUAAAAUAAUAUACAACACUCUAUCUCAGUGGCCACCAUAAAAAUUUUAGAAGAAAUGAUAAUUAAAAAUAGUCAAACCAGCUCCAAUUAAACUGCAACAAGCUAUCUUCUGCAACCAAGACUUGUCCUUUUUCCAACAUGGAUUUCAUCCAAGUCUUGCUUAAAAAUAUAUAUAUACAUAUAUAAUACAACGUCAUAAUUUUCUUUAUUAUAUGUUAGCUAGAGAGACCCCCAAGGUCCCUCACUCCUGAAAACAGGUGUCGUGUCCUCUAGAAAGUCAAUGAACCUAACAAGCACCUUAUCUCUCUUGGCAAACCCUUCCUUCUCCAUUUAUGGGGAAGAAUUUUGGAGCACAGUUUGAUGGAGAGAAUGUUUGAUUAGUCAGUGCUGACUCCUGAGUUGAGCUGGAAAGGCAUCAAAAAGAUGCUGUGUCAGCGGCAAGAUUGCCUUGGCAGACACCUUCAAAGUCAGCACAGAUGUCCCUAAUGUCUUCAAUGUACUCCUUCGCCUCCUCCUAAUCUCUCCAAAGCAAAUGCCACUGAAGGAAUAAGAAAAAUUGAAGACCCAUGCUUGGCUUCCCCAAGUUUAUUCAAAUGCAUGAUUUUUUUUC